rnacentral:lncRNA from 1 species
AUCCUAGAAGAACUCAGAGGGGAUGAAGGCGUGAGGAGUCAGAGGCCCGAGGAGUCAGAGCCUCUAGAGAAGAAAGGAAAAUAUGAGAGGCCAAAGGCAAAGCCUCUAAACACUUUAUCUAAAAAAUGGCACUCUUUUUUAUCGAUUCAGUUUUGGGACUGGAAAAUACAGAAGACUUCUUGGUUUAUACAUGGUCUUGUAAAAGAAUCAGUACUUACAACUCUAUUGCAAUUCCAAGUAUUGAAGCAAUCGCAGAAUUACCUCUGGACUACAAAUUUACAAGAUUCUCUUCAAGCAAUUCAAAAAUAACUGGCUACUAUCCAAACCUUCCAUUGGUCUUAUCAAAUGAUCAGACACUGAUAACCAAAUAAGUUAUCUUUACUGAAAAGUGA